GAGAGUGGGUAGUCCGCACGAGCGCACCCUAUCCUUAGUUGCCAGCACAUUAUGGUGGGGACUCUAAGGAGACUGCCUGGGAUAACCAGGAGGAAGGUGGGGAUGAUGUCAAGUCAGUAUGUCCCUUAUGUCCAGGGCUACACACGUGUUACAAUGGUUGGUACAGAGGGCAGCUAAGCCGCAAGGUGGAGCCAAUCCCCCAAAACCAACCCCAGUUCGGAUUGGAGUCUGCAACUCGACUCCAUGAAGCAGGAAUCGCUAGUAAUCGUGGAUCAGAACGCCACGGUGAAUACGUUCCCGGGUCUUGUACACACCGCCCGUCACGCCAUGGAAGUCAGUAGUACCCGAAUCGAGUGGCCCAACCUUAGGGAGGGAGCUCGUUAAGGUAAGACUGGUAACUGGGGUGAAGUCGUAACAAGGUAGCCGUAGGAGAACCUGCGGCUGGAUCACCUCCUUUCU
rnacentral:rRNA from 1 species